UACCCGUCAAUUACCCGUCAAAUAUCCACAAAAAAUUCUAUAAAAUAUGGGCUUUAAAUACAUAUUUUGAGAUUAUGGGCUAGUAUUUUAUAUUUUAAAAUAGGCCCAAACAAUAAGGCCCAAAGUCUAAUAUUGAGCACCGCAGUCGUCUCAAACCAAAGCUAUUAGAAGCAUUAAUGUGCACUCAAAAUUGGCUACGAAAUCAACUUGAAGGUCAAGGAAAGAAUGGAAGCUUUUGGACUUGUCUUGAAGAUGAAGAUGAAGAGUUCAAUUAAGAGGAUUCUAUUUCUACUGUCGAGCAAUUAUAGACAUUGUUCUUUGUUGGAUUUUAUAUUUUAGUUGAUGAAUUUAAACAUUGUUCUUUGUGAAUUUGAAUUUAAACAUUGUUCUUUGUGGAUUUGAACUAUGCUAUUUGUGUUGAUUUUUUUCC